rnacentral:lncRNA from 1 species
GUAAGAAUCAUUCAGGCCGGGCGCGGUGGCUCACGCCUGUAAUCCCAGCACUUUGGGAGGCCGAGGCGGGCGGAUCAUGAGGUCAGGAGAUCCAGAACAUCCUGGCUAACACAGUGAAACUCCGUCUCUACUAAAAAAUACAAAAAAAAAUUAGCCAAGCGUGAUGGCGGGCGCCUGUAAUCCCAGCUACUCGGGAGGCUGAGGUAGGAGAAUGGCGGGAACCCGGGAGGCGGAGCUUGCGGUGAGCAGAGAUCGCGCCACUGCACUCCAGCCUAGGCCACAGAGCGAGACUCCGUCUCAAAAAAAUAAAAGGAUCAUUCAGGUAAAGCAGAUAAGAAUCACCAAUACCUUGAGGUGGAAGCACGCCUGACAUGGUUGAGAAACAACAGAGAAGCCGGCGUCCUGAGUGCGAUGCCGUGAACCUAGCAAUGAGUGAGGAAAAGGAAUCUUUCACCCCUACAAAGGGAUACCAUGGAAUUUCUCAAACAGUGAAUACAUUGGCUCCAGGAAAAAGGGUCGACCUCUUAAAUAGAAAUAGAGAACUAGAGAACAAUAAUGAGGGGAGUACCUUGCAGUCAGUAAUAAGAAGCUGUCUUUACUAUCAAAUCAGACCUCCAGUGGGAGAGUUUUUCCCUAUAGUGACUUUGACUGUCACCCUGUGUUUAAUCACAAUCCUAUGAAAACAGUUAACUCUCUAAGUGGUCAAAGAAAUUUUUCAAUAAACAUAAACUUUAGUCUAAUUCUCAUUAUUCUCCUUUUUUGUCUCUUUGUCUAAAAUAAAGCAAUUAAACAUUAAUUAUGCAAAUCAUUGACAAACUAGAAAAACAAUACCCUUCGUAUUUCAAGACAGUGGGAGAGAUAGGCUGGGUAUUCAGAGAAAAAUACCCCUCAUUAAAUGUUAAUGCAAGAAACAGGUGGAAGGCCGAGCAUGGUGGCUCAGGCCUGUAAUUCCUACACUUUGGGAGGCUGAGGCAGGUGGAUCACCUGAGGUCAGCAGUUUGAGAUCAGUCUGGCAAACAUGAUGGAACCCCAUCUCUACUAAAAAUAUAAAAAAUUAGCUGGGUGGGGUGGCAGGUGCCUUUAAUCCCAGCUAUUUAGGAGGCUGAGACAGGAGAAUCACUUGAACCCAGGAGGUGGAAGUUGUAGUGAGCCAAGAUCGUGCCACUGCACCCCAACCUGGGCAACAACAGUGAAACUCCAUCUAAAAAAAAAAAAAAAAAAAAAGGAAAGAAACAGGUGGAAACAAACCAACCUAACAAAAGAAAAGACAAAAAACAAACCAGUUAUCUAACUUACAUUUUCAGUGAAGUUUGUUGAAAACUUUCAUCUAUAAAACAAGUGGGUCAUCCAAGAAAAAUGAGCAAUCUGGCCGGGUGCAAUGGCUCAUGCCUGUAAUCCCAGCACUUUGGGAGGCAGAGACAGGCAGAUCACCUGAGGUCAGGAGUUCGAGACCAGCCUGACAAACAUGGAGAAACCUCGUCUCUACUAAAAAUACAAAAUUAGCCAGGCGUGGAGGCGCAUGCCUGUAAUCUCAGCCACUUGGGAGGCUGAGGCAGGAGAAUUGCUUGAACCCAGGAGGCAGAGGCUUCAGUGAGCCAAGAGUAAGCCAAGAUCGUGCCACUGCACUCCAGCCUGGGCAACAAGAGCAAAAACUCUGUCAAAAAAAAAAAAAAAGAAAAGAAAGAAAGAGAAAAAAGAAAAAUGAGCAAUCUGAGAAGAGUUCUUAGAAGUGGAAAACACAUUUUAUAAACUAAAAUUGUAAUUAAUGAAACCCAGAGGUAGAUUGAAUAUUACAUCAAUAAAAUAGCUGAAAGAACCGAAUUCAUAAUAGCUGAGUCUCAGGAAUGGAAAACAAAACAUUGUAUGUUCUCACUUAUAAGUGAGAGCUAAGCUAUGAAAAUACAAAGACAUAGGAAUGAUACAAUGGAUUUUGGGGACUUGGAGGGAAGGGCGGGAGGUGGGUGAGAGAUAAAAGAUUACACAUUGGGUACAGUGUACACUGCUCAGGUGAUGGGUGCAACAAAAAUAUAAGAAAUCACCACUAAAAAACUUAUCCAUGUAACCAAACACCACCUGCUCCCCAAAACCUGUUAAAAUAAAAAAUAAAAGAAUAGCUGAGUCAGUCUGCUCACUCACUGCUAUAUACAUUAAGUAGUAGUGUUUACUCUCAGAAUUAAACCUCAAAAAAUAGCAUUCUUUUCAAACAAAUAUCUAUUUUGUAUAUGUCUAAUGUGACUUUCUGGAAAAUUCAUACAAAUAAAUGAAGAGAAAUAAGUAAACAUGUGAAUAUAUAGAAAUAAAUGGAUACAUGAAUUAAAUAGAAAAGAUUAUGGCUGGGCACGGUGGCUCAUGCCUGUAAUCUCAGAACUUUGGGAGGUCAAGGCAGGUGGUUGGCUUGAGUCCAGGAGUUCGAGACUAGCCUGGCAACAUGGCAAAACUCCAUCUCUACAAAAAAAAAAAUACAAAAAAUUAGCCAGCUAUGGUGGUACAUGCCUGUGGUUCAAAGUACUUGGGAGGCUGAGGUGAGAGGGUUUCUUUGAGCCCCGGAGGCAGAGGUUGCAGUGAGCCAAGCUGGCGCCACUGCACUCCAGCCUGGGUAACAGAGCAAGACUCUGUCUCAAAAAAAUAAUAAAAAUAACAAAGAAAACAAGAUUAUUAAAACCAAACUAAGCAUUAAACUUAAGAACCACUGCAGAAAAACAUGUUCAGUCCUCAGAAGAUAGCAACAUUUCAAAGUACCUUCCCAAUUAAAAAAAAAUCAAAUUUCUCUUCCAAUUUGAAUGCUAAAUUGGGCCUCUUUCCUCUCUUCCUCUUCUCUGACUCUCUGCCUCCUUCCUUUCCUUGUUUUCUCUAUUCAUCCAUUAACAAUUAAAUAUCUACUGAAUAUUUACUAUAUUCACAAACCUGAGGCUCAAUCCCAAUCCUAAUUGAUUUCUCAUUAUAUUUGAGGAAGAAAGACAUGUAAAAAAAAUUACUUCGGUAUCCCUUGGAUUGACUGAAGCACCAAAUUUACUUAGCUUUACUCACAACACUUACAAAUGCUUCAUUUUAGAUGGUGUAGUCAUUCAUAGCUCUCCCACCUUCCCUGCCAGGGAUCCCCAGCUCCCAAUUGCCAAGCCCAUGCUCCUCCUUUCUUCUUUGUGACUUUGCUUUUAACAUUUAGUUGCCAUCAAAUAAACUGACACCUGGCAGGUCUCUAGUACUUCCUUAAAGGAGCCGGACUCACUGCCAGGGCACAGAGCAUCUGCUCUUCCCAGCACCCCCCUCCAGAGGCCUUUGUUCUUCCCUUUAAUAGUCCCUGAAAUGCAAAAUUGAGAAUGGGUACUGUAAACUAUUCCAUAUAAAUUAAUCUUUAAUAACUUUUUAUUUUAUUUAUUUAUUUAUUUUUGAGAUGGAGUUUCGCUCUUGUUUCCCAGGCUGGAGUGCAAUGGCGCGAUCUCAGCUCGCUGCAACCUCCGCCUCCCGGGUUCAAGUGAUUCUCCUGCCUCAGCCUCCCAAGUAGCUGGGAUUACAGGCAUGUGCCACCAUACCCAGCUAAUUUUUUGUAUUUUUAGUAGAGACGGGGUUUCUCCAUGUUGGUUAGGCUGGUCUCGAACUGCUGACCUCAGGUACUCCACCUGCCUCAACCUCCCAAAGUGCUAGGAUUACAGGCAUGAGCCACCUCACCUGGCCUUUAAUGACAUUUUGAUUAAAAAAGCCAAAAAAAAAAAAAAAACCAGACAUGGUGGUUCACACCUUAAUCCCAACACUUUGGGAAGCCAGGGUGGGAGGAUAGCUAGAGCUCGGGAGUUCAUGACCAGCCUGGGCAACAUGGCAAAACCCUGUCUCCGCAAAAAAUACAAAAAUUGUUGGGAAAAGAUGAGUGCUGGGAGAAGCUGAAGCAGGGCUUGCAUGUCUGACAUAACAUAAAAGAGUGUUGGAACAUGUCCAGGUCCAGAGUCUGAAACCUCUCAUGGCCUUUGGAACACCAAACUCUGUGCUAAGGGUGGAAGGCUACCCUGAUGCGCCAUAAUCUAAGCUCAGGGCAUAAAACCCCUCGUGGCUUGGAUAGAAUCCAGGGCUCAUGGCUCUCGAAUGUGUCUAGACUUGCUGGCUCCUUGCUUCUCGCCCUACCAGGCUCCUAGAUCGAUUGUGUCUCAGAAUUGGCCAUAUAAAUGCUAAACCAUCACAGCUGUAACUCAUGUGCUUAAUGCAACGCUCCCUUUCGACCCCCACGUUCUCACCACCUGUUUCUUUGUUUGAUCACCAAUAAACAGUCUGGGCUUCCGGAGCUCGGGGCCUUCGCAGCCUCCAUAACUAGUGUUGGCCCCCUGGACCCACUUUCUCUCUCAAACUGUCUUUUCUCAUUCCUUUGACUCUGUUGGACUUCGUCACCCCCACGACCUGGUGUUGGGUCCGAUCACCACAACAAAAAAUUAGUCGGGCAUGGUGGCAUGUGCCUGUAGUCCCAGCUACUCAGGAGGUUGAGGCAGGAGGAUCGCUUGAGCUCAGGAGAUUAAGGCUGCAGUGAGCCGAGAUCCUACCACUGCACUCCAGCCUGAGCUACAGGCUGUCUCAAACAAACAAGAAAAAAGAGCAAGACAAAUCAAACAGAAGAGUAUGAGGCAUUGUCCUAAAAGACUUCCCUGGUAGUUUAACUUCAAGCUGCAGAGCAUCCU